CAAUAGCGUAUAUUAAAGUUGUUGCGGUAAAAAAGCUCGUAGUUGGAUUUCUGUUGAGAGCGACCGGUCCAUACCAUGUAUGCGUAUCUGGCUUGCUCUCGGCAUCCUCUCGAUAGACGUUACUGCGCUUGAUUGCGUGGUGCGGAUCUCGGGACUUUUACUUUGAGGAAAUUAGAGUGUUCACGGCAGGCUUUCGCCAGAAUACAUUAGCAUGGAAUAAUACUAUAGGAUCUUGGCUCUAUUUUGUUGGUUUCUAGAAUUGAGAUAAUGAUUAAUAGGGACAAUUGGGGGCAUUCGUAUCAACACGUCAGAGGUGGAAUUCUUGGAUUGUGUUGCGACGAACUACUGCGAAAGCAUUUGCCAAGGAUGUUUUCAUUGA
rnacentral:rRNA from 1 species